AGAUUCCUGUCAUUUCUGUUUCUGUGACUCUUCCCCAGCAUACUCCCAUCUUCUGCUAAAUAUACUCUCUAUUUUCCAUCCUUUCAUCGUGCCCUUUAAAGUCAGCUGGGUUAGAUGCAGAGAGUUCCAGAGACCAAAAGCUCCCCCCCCCCCCUUUUUUUCUUUUCUGUUUUCUGGGUUUCUUAAGCUCGAAAUUGUAAAGGAUAAAAAUGGAUCAUCUCGCCGAUGCGUCUAACCAAAAUUCUCAACCCCAAACUCAAAUAUCCCAUUUGGCUCUCGACAUUGGAGGUUCUUUGAUCAAAUUGGUGUAUUUCUGUAGAUAUAGUGAUAGUUGUAGAGAUGAUGAUGAUGAUGAGCUAAGGUCCCAAAAUGAUAGCCUUUUUUUCCAAAAGGGGUAAUAGUCGACCUGUUCUUGAAGGAACGCUUCAUUUGGCAAAGUUCGAAACUAGCAAGAUAAAUGAUUGCUUGGAGUUCCUUCGCUCCAUGAAACUUCGGAUUGGUGUGGCUUUCAAGAAGCGCGCCUCUUAAAUUCUGAGAGGCAGUAUGAUUACUGACGGCAAUAAUGCGUAACUUAGCCACACGACCUAAAUAAUAGGGACUGCAAGAUCUUAUUCAAGUUUAGACGAUGAUGGAGUUGCUUAGUUUAAUUUUACAUGCAGGCUUAUUUAGCACAAUGAAAGUUAUUUCCAGUUUCAGAUAUAUUUUGUUGAGCUUUGGCUUGUUCAUUAGUGUGCCUUUGUUAAGAUAAGU